rnacentral:snoRNA from 1 species
UGCGUAUUAAUUAGAACCGGUUAUUGGACCUCGCAGCUAAUCGGUGUCAAUAUAUGCCAAAUGAACCCAGCAAGCAUUUU